rnacentral:lncRNA from 1 species
GUCGUUGUUGUCGUUGUUGUUGUUGUUGUCGGCAUUGUCAUCAUCGUUGUUGUUUUUGUUGUUUUCGUUGGUUUCUCUAUUGUAGUUGUUGUCGAUGUUGUCGUCGUCAUUGUUGUUGUUGUUAUUGCCGUAGUUGUCGUUGUUGUCAUUCUUCUCAUUGUUGUCAUCGUUGUCAUUGUUGUUGUCGUCAUCAUCGUCGUCGUUGUUGUUGUGGUUGUUGUUGUUGUUGUUNNNNNNNNNNUGUUAUAGUUAUUGUUGUUGUGGUGGUGGUUGUUGUUGUGGUAGUGGUGGUUGUUGUUGUUGUUGUUGUCGUUGUCGUCGUCGUAGUCGUUGUUGUCGUUGUUGUUGUUGUUGUUGUUGUUGUUG